UACGAAUGGGGCUAGCGUUGCUCGGAAUCACUGGGCGUAAAGGGUGCGUAGGCGGGUCUUUAAGUCAGGGGUGAAAUCCUGGAGCUCAACUCCAGAACUGCCUUUGAUACUGAGGAUCUUGAGUUCGGGAGAGGUGAGUGGAACUGCGAGUGUAGAGGUGAAAUUCGUAGAUAUUCGGAAGAACACCAGUGGCGAAGGCGACUUACUGGACACAUAUUGACGCUGAGGUGCGAAAGCGUGGGGAGCAAACAGG
rnacentral:rRNA from 1 species